rnacentral:rRNA from 1 species
UACGUAGGGUGCGAGCGUUGUCCGGAAUUAUUGGGCGUAAAGAGCUCGUAGGCGGUGUGUCGCGUCGGCCGUGAAAACCUGCAGCUUAACUGUGGGCGUGCGGUCGAUACGGGCAUCACUGGAGUUCGGCAGGGGAGACUGGAAUUCCUGGUGUAGCGGUGAAAUGCGCAGAUAUCAGGAGGAACACCCGGUGGCGAAGGCGGGGUC